UGCCACACAGUCUGUCUAAAUCUCUACUACUGAUCAGUAGGUCGAAACGCAAUUUCGGUUAUUACAAAAACAUAAUUCGAUAACAAAAUCAUGUACAAAUUGCCGUGGACUCUUUUAUUGUUAAUAAUCGCUAUUUUAGCGCCAACAAACGGUAAUUUAACUGAAAAAGUGCCGAAAAAUCAACUGAGUUUAUCAGAUAUAUUGGAAUACAACACCAUACUUUUCCCACUGACUACCGUAAGCAAAGCCGAACUAGUGGGCGAGCAAUGUCACGCGCGAUUGCAGGAGCUGCGACGCGGCAUUUUGCAGCGUGAAUUUUGGGCGCUUAAAGUACUUGACGCCUCCGGCAAGCAACCACCCGCUUUCAUGCUCGGCGAUAAUAUGUGGCUGGGUAGUGCUCAGCUCUGCGAGGCGGCACAGAACGGCCUUAACUUGGAUAUUUCACGCUAUGUGGCGCACAAAAUGAAUAUGUCACUGCUAACGGACAAAACGCCUUUUGAUGUAGACUAUCGCGUUAUUUAUGCGGCCCAUAAUUCCUCGUACCAAACCGACGUCGUGUAUGGGCAGGCGCGGCAACUCUUACACAUCGGUUUGUGCGUGCCGUCCGAGUGUAACUCUCAACAGUUGAUGCAGUUGGUGACCGCAUAUUUUGAAAGUGAGAUUUUUCUUAGCGGCGAUCUUCAUGCGAUCAAACCGAGUUUGCUCAAAGUGAAGACAAUGGAGUUUAAGGGGGGAGAUUUUCAUAAAAUGAUUGCAUUCAAAUUAGUCGUCGUUUUUGUCACUUACACACUACUUAUGACUUUGUACGCUUAUUAUUUGCGCACAAGGCGCUUACCAAGCACAAACGUUCAAGUGAAACCAAGCUCGUUUGAGGCUUUUGUACUUUGUUAUGACCUCCAAUUAAAUUGCUCGAAGAUACUAGCGCCGCCCGAUAGCGCGUCCAAUACAUUUGCUUUCUUGAAUGGUGGACGCAUGGAGAGUGCUCUUAUUGCCACAUUUUUUCAUACUUUCAUUAUGUUGAAAGCCAUUGUCAGCAAUCCGACACAGCUUUUCACUUAUGUGAGUAGUAUAGGAAAUAUGGAGGUAGCCAUGGAUGUGUUUUUACUAAUCAGUGGAUUUCUACAGACCUAUAGUUACUUGCGGAAUCGAAGUCAAUUGGAAACUAUAAGACGAUUAAACUUCAGUCGUAGUGUUUUGGAAAUCGUGAAACUGACAUUUCACCGUUUUCUCAGAUUAGCGCCGCUCUACUAUUUUAUGAUAUGUAUUACCUAUUUAGCGAUGAAAUACAACGACAGUACCACCGUGUUUAAUUUAUCGGGUUUUGUAACGGAAAACUGCGAGCGUUACUGGUGGCGCAACGUGCUCUUCAUUCACAAUUUAUACGAUCAUAAAGACAUGUGCUUGGCAUGGACCUGGUUUGUGUCUUUGGAAAUGCAAUAUACGAUAACCUUGACAGUGCUCUUGGUUGUUUAUGCUAAACACCCAAAAUAUGCUAAGAUUUCUCUAUUGCUGCUGAUGAUAGCAUCUUUGGCAUACCAAACAAUCGUGGGCAUACAGGUGAACUUUCAGAUAUCUUUGGAGACCACAUUUACGCACUUUGUCCAGUUCUAUGCGCAUCCACUGGUGCGAAUUUUUCCAUAUCUCUUCGGCGCUCUCACUUGUUGGCUAUACCUCGAAUAUAAUGCUCAGCUUCAAUCUUUUAAAUUAUUAACUAAUUUCUACUGCCACCUCAUUCAUUUAGUAUUUAUGAUUUGUAUGCGACCCGCCCCAUUGGGGCGUGGCUAUACAGUGUGGGUGGAGACCUUUGUUUUCGUCCUACAACGUUGCCUUUAUACUAUGAGCGGCUGUUGGUCCAUUAUUGCUGCAGCGAAUAAUCGUCUUGCUUGGCAUGGACGUUUUCUGAGUGCCAAAAUCUUCCAGAAAGCAAUUCAUGUGUCCUAUGCCUUAUCGUUGUUGAAUUCUCUGGUUAUUAUUUGCCUUUUUACGGCGGGCAGUAAGUUGGUGUUUGUGGAACCGAUUCGAAUGUUUGUGCUUUAUAUCGGACUUAUCAUUAUUUUGCAUAUAUUAUCGUUCCCGUUGACUGUACUUUUUGAAAUGCCUUACCGCAAUAUUUCCAGUUUAUUGACAAAGCGAGGUUCGGCGAAGCGAGCCAAGUCAUCUUAACUUAGUCUAUUGACAGUUCUAUCAAUAAUGUUUAUAAAAAAUUAGAAUUAGAAAAAAUCUUUAUAAUAAAUCGAUAGUUUAUUAUAUAUAGUGCUGCAAAUUACAACGAAAAUCUUCAGUGACAACUUGACAAGUGCUUUCUCAGAAAUAUAAUAAGUCACUUUCUUUUAAAAAUUUAGCUUUUGCGUUAUCUCGUGGAAUAAGUGCGUCUAGACUACCCUAACCUAACCAAUAUACACUGCGCGUGUGAUAAUUUUUCUUACUCGCUCGUUGUAAUCAAUUAAUAUUUAACCGGAUGCACUACUAAUUAUUUAUAAGCUUAUUAUUUAUAUAUGUAUGUAUAUUAAAACCUAUACAUUUUUUGCCAAUGGUUGGUUGGUUGAAAAGAGAGGCGCAGGGCAGCCCCAAUUAGAAUUGAUUCCGGUUGGUAACCACAUUAAGCCAGCAACUCAGUGGAUUUGUUAGAAAACACGACUUUUUCCACCACAGUUACCCAAUGUUUUCUUUAGAUGGAGUAUUCAGAGCCAUAUAAUAUAGCCCGUUCAUUCGGCUGAAAACUGGGCAUAUCUAAUAAAAAUGUUCCAGCGUCUCAUCAUCUUUAUCACAUCCGCUACUUUCGACCGAUACCACUUUUCUAACUAUAAAAAUUUUUAAGUGUAGAUGUCCUGUGUAGAUGUCCUGUGAUGAUUCCUAUAACAUUAUUAAGUUCGCUUUUAGUCUAGUAGAAGUUUUUUGGUAUUUGGUAUACCCUGUGCUGGUAGUGUUCCAAGACCUGAGAUGUUCCUCUAGGGCCCAUGGCUUCAAACACUGGUGCACUCCGAAGCGUCAAGCUAUUCGUAAAAAGAGGCCGGAAUUAUGGGGCGGCAACUCUUGGUUUUCGCACCACGAUAAUACACCCUCGCGUACUGCAUUUGUUCUUCGUGAGUUUUUCGCCAAAUUUUCAACCAAUAUCAAGCCGCGAACACAGUAUUCGCUUAAAAUUUACUUUAACAACUAUUUCGAGGAUUGGAAAAAAAGUUGGCACAAGUGUAUUGGGUCCAUGGGAGAUUACUUCGGAAGAGGCGACAUAGAUUUUGAAGAAUAAAUUAAGAAGUUUAAAAUUAUGAACAAAUUCUUAUUAUAUAUUUUUUCUCAUAGUAGUGAAAUAUAAUAACUUCUUAUUAAUAAUUUUAGUUUUAUUGUUUUGUUGAACUUUAAACUGAACUCUAUUAAUUGUCAAAGCUUAGUCUUGAUUAAUACCUAAACACUUAAUAGUUAUAUUAUGUACAUAUAUUUGAAUAAAGUUAUUAAUAUAUAACGCAAUAUUCGGUAAAAUAGUCCACAAAGGGAGUAAAAUUAAGCUAAAGCCGAACAGUUUGACUAAAUCUCCACAACUGAUCAGUAGGUCGAAAAGCAAUUUCGGUUAUUACAAAAACAUAAUUUAUUAAUUAACGAAAUCAUGUACAAAUUGCCGUGGACUCUUUUAUUGCUAAUAAUCGUGGCUAUUUUAGCGCCAACAAACGGUAAUUUAACUCAAAACGCAAAAGUGCCGAAAACUCAACUGAGUUUGUCAGAUAUAUUGGAAUACAACACCAUACUUUUCCCACUCACUACCGUAAGCAAAGCCGAACUAGUGGGCGAGCAAUGCCAUGCACGAUUGCAGGAGCUGCGGCGCGGCAUUUUGGAGCGCGAAUUUUGGGCGCUUAAAGUACUUGACGUCUCCGGCAAGCAACCACCCGCUUUCAUGCUCGGCGAUAAUAUGUGGCUGGGUAGUGCUGAGCUGUGCGAGGCGGCACAGAACGGCCUUAACUUGGAUAUUUCCCGCUAUGUGGCGCACAAAAUGAAUAUGUUACUGCUAACGGAGAAAACACCUUUCGAU